AUUGAACGCUGGCGGCAGGCUUAACACAUGCAAGUCGAGCGGAGAUGAGGUGCUUGCACCUUAUCUUAGCGGCGGACGGGUGAGUAAUGCUUAGGAAUCUGCCUAUUAGUGGGGGACAACAUUCCGAAAGGAAUGCUAAUACCGCAUACGUCCUACGGGAGAAAGCAGGGGAUCUUCGGACCUUGCGCUAAUAGAUGAGCCUAAGUCGGAUUAGCUAGUUGGUGGGGUAAAGGCCUACCAAGGCGACGAUCUGUAGCGGGUCUGAGAGGAUGAUCCGCCGCACUGGGACUGAGACACGGCCCAGGCUCCUACGGGAGGCAGCAGUGGGGAAUAUUGGGCAAUGGGGGGAACCCUGAUCUAGCCAUGCCGCGUGCGUGAAGAAGGCCUUAUGGUUGUAAAGCACUUUAAGCGAGGAGGAGGCUACUGAGACUAAUACUCUUGGAUAGUGGACGUUACUCGCAGAAUAAGCACCGGCUAACUCUGUGCCAGCCGCCGCCGUAAGAC
rnacentral:rRNA from 1 species